AGAAAAUUAUUAUAUUUAGUAUUUUUAAUUGCAAAUUAAAGGGUUAAUUUUCUU
rnacentral:tRNA from 1 species